rnacentral:piRNA from 1 species
UGUCUGUGUUAAUUGUAGUGUAGGUCU